AGUGAACGCUGGCGGUAGGCCUAACACAUGCAAGUCGCACGGCAGCACAGGAGAGCUUGCUCUCUGGGUGGCGAGUGGCGGAAGGGUGAGGAAUACAUCGGAAUCUACUUUUUCGUGGGGGAUAACGUAGGGAAACUUACGCUAAUACCGCAUACGACCUACGGGUGAAAGCAAGGGAUCAUCGGACCUUGCGCGAUUGAAUGAGCCGAUGUCGGAUUAGCUAGUUGGCGGGGUAAGGGCCCACCAAGGCGACGAUCCGUAGCUGGUCUGAGAGGAUGAUCAGCCACACUGGAACUGAGACACGGUCCAGACUCCUACGGGAGGCAGCAGUGGGGAAUAUUGGACAAUGGGCGCAAGCCUGAUCCAGCCAUACCGCGUGGGUGAAGAAGGCCUUCGGGUUGUAAAGCCCUUUUGUUGGGAAAGAAAUCCAGCUGGUUAAUACCCGGUUGGGAUGACGGUACCCAAAGAAUAAGCACCGGCUAACUUCGUGCCAGCCGCCGCCGUAA
rnacentral:rRNA from 1 species